rnacentral:tRNA from 1 species
GGAAAUUUGGCAGAGAGGCUUAUUGCACCUAUUUCGAAAGUAGGAGAUCCCAACGGGAUCCGUAGGUUCGAAUCCUACAAUUUCCA